rnacentral:rRNA from 1 species
GACGAACGCUGGCGGCGCGCCUAACACAUGCAAGUCGAACGAGCGAGAGAGAGCUUGCUUUCUCGAGCGAGUGGCGAACGGGUGAGUAACGCGUGAGGAACCUGCCUCAAAGAGGGGGACAACAGUUGGAAACGACUGCUAAUACCGCAUAAGCCCACGGUGCCGCAUGGCACAGAGGGAAAAGGAGCAAUCCGCUUUGAGAUGGCCUCACGUCUGAUUAGCUAGUUGGUGAGGUAAUGGCCCACCAAGGCGACGAUCGGUAGCCGGACUGAGAGGUUGAACGGCCACAUUGGGACUGAGACACGGCCCAGACUCCUACGGGAGGCAGCAGUGGGGAAUAUUGCACAAUGGGGGAAACCCUGAUGCAGCGACGCCGCGUGGAGGAAGAAGGUCUUCGGAUUGUAAACUCCUGUUGUUGGGGAAGAUAAUGACGGUACCCAACAAGGAAGUGACGGCUAACUACGUG